UGGUGGGUGUGCCUUCCCAGCUGUAGCCGUUGUCCUCUGUAUGUUCCUGCGUGCAUCACGUCGGCGUGUGUGCGUCACGUGGGCGUGUGUGCGUCGUCUUGGUGACAGAGACUUCUAAGAAGGGCAAGCACAUCUUGGUCCUGUGACCUAGUCAUUGCGCUCCACCCAUCUCGGGACAGUCUCCCACCACACUCUCCCGCCACUUCUUUCAUUCAUAGCUACUUUCUUUUCUAGCUCCACUUCCAGAAUCCUCAGGCAUCAAUGAACUCACCCCCGCACAGUGAAGUUUAACCUCUCGUUGCUCUGCAGUCAGUGUUGCGAAUUAGGAUUCCAGAGUCAGACGCUGGGUGAACAACCUGCUAGCUCAGAGAGGCAGAGCUUCUUACACACCAAGGGGGAUGUUACAGACGCUUGGAUGACUCCACUGGGAAAAACAACAGUAACUAUGGACAGCCCAAAUCUCAGAUUCCAGACUUCAUACCAACAACUCUUCGGGGGGCUCCAGGUCUUCAGAGCUGGCUGAGGAUGCUGAGUCAGCCCACUUUGUCAAACGAGCAGCUACUGGGUUCUUUCCUUCUCCAGAAUGUAGCCAUCAAAGAAAGCCACCACUCUCUAAGAACAAGGAGACUAGACAGCAAGAAAAAUGGAUGGCCUAAAUGAUCCAAAAUCUCAGAGCACCUCUGUUGCAGUUUCCUCAGAAUUCUACAUCCAAAACAAUUUCAAAGCUGCUGGUUGGCAUUAUCCAGCCUUACAGACUACUCCAGCCAAGACCUAACAAUUAUCCUGACUUUCUCAAUGUUUUCCCAAAGAUAUCAGCACCCGCAGACAACAGGAAGAGGUCCAAAGAACAAUGACUACAUUCCCAAAUAUGGGUAAUAGAUGUUUAUUACCAUUUAA